rnacentral:ncRNA from 1 species
GGUCCCAAGGGUAUGGCUGUUCGCCAUUUAAAGAGGUACGCGAGCUGGGUUUAGAACGUCGUGAGACAGUUCGGUCCAUAUCUACCGUGGGCGUUGGAAAUUUGAGAGGAUCUGCUCCUAGUACGAGAGGACCAGAGUGGACGAACCUCUGGUGUACCGGUUGUCACGCCAGUGGCAUCGCCGGGUAGCUAUGUUCGGAAGGGAUAACCGCUGAAAGCAUCUAAGCGGGAAGCCUACCUCAAGAUAAGAUUUCCCCGAGACUUUAUGUCUCCUAAAGAGCCGUUGAAGACUACGACGUUGAUAGGUUGGAUGUGGAAGCAUAGUGAUAUGUGAAGCUGACCAAUACUAAUUGCUCGUGAGGCUUGACUAU